rnacentral:rRNA from 1 species
UAACACGUAGGAGCCAAGCGUUAUCCGAAUUCACUGGGCGUAAAGCGCGUGUAGGCGGCUCGGUAAGUUGGAUGUGAAAGCUCCUGGCUCAACUGGGAGAGGACGUUCAAUACUGUCGGGCUAGAGGACGGCAGAGGGAGGUGGAAUUCCCGGUGUAGUGGUGAAAUGCGUAGAUAUCGGGAGGAACACCAGUGGCGAAGGCGGCCUUCUGGGCCGUACCUGACGCUCAGACGCGAAAGCUAGGGGAGCGAACGGGAUUAGAAACCCCGGUAGUCCUAGCCGUAAACGAUGUAGACUUGGUGUAGGUGGUGUAAAAACCAUCUGUGCCGAAGCCAACGCGAUAAGUCUACCGCCUGGGGACUACGGCCGCAAGGUUAAAACUCAAAGGAAUUGACGGGGGCCCGCAC